CUACUGGGGUUUCUAAUCCUGUUUGCUCCCCACGCUUUCGCGCCUCAGCGUCAGUGCCGGACCAGUGAGCCGCCUUCGCCACUGGUGUUCUUGCGAAUAUCUACGAAUUUCACCUCUACACUCGCAAUUCCACUCACCUCUUCCGGACUCAAGACAUCCAGUAUCAAGGGCAGUUCCGGGGUUGAGCCCCGGGAUUUCACCCCUGACUUAAAUGUCCGCCUACGCGCGCUUUACGCCCAGUAAUUCCGAACAACGCUAGCCCCCUUCGUAUUACCGCGGCUGCUGGCAC
rnacentral:rRNA from 1 species